rnacentral:rRNA from 1 species
GUAGGGGGCAGGCGUUGUCCGGAUUUAUUGGGCGUAAAGAGGGUGUAGGCGGCCGCACAGGUCCGUUGAGAAAACUGGAGGCUUAACCUUCACACGUCGAUGGAAACCGUGCGGCUAGAGUCCGGAAGAGGAGAAUGGAAUUCCUGGUGUAGCGGUGAAAUGCGCAUAUAUCAGGAACAACACCCGUGGCUAAGGCGGUUCUUAGUUACGGUACUGACGCUGAGACGCGAAAGCGUGGGGAGCGAACAGGAUUACAUACCCUGGAAGUCCACGCCGUAAACGAUGGGUGCUAGGUGUGGGGGGUGUCGACUCCCCCCGUGCCGAACCUAACGCAUUAAUCCCCCCGCCUGGGGAGUACGGCCGCAGGGCUA